rnacentral:lncRNA from 1 species
UGAAAGAGGAUGGCAAUCUCGCUGAAGCUGUUUCUUUUUCUUCACAACAUAUAGGAAAGUGUUGCCCCUUUUUGGAGAAAGUAACAACCUCCACCGACACUACUUGAAUCAGUAUUGGACAAAUGUCAGGUACUUGGGAAACUCUCCAGCCCUAUCCCCUGUCCUGGCCGGGUGUGCUCCAAGUGCACCAUUUGGCUAAGUCAAUUUGAAAUAUUUGGGAGACCUUUGUACCUACGAUUCCUUCUGCUUGGAAGAUCCUUUCUGUUUUGUCAGCUCUUACUUCCCUGUUGUGGAAAACUGAUCUGACCUCCUAGUCCUGAAUCAGGGGCCAUAAAGAAAACUGAUGAGGACAACUGGCCUCCCAGUAUGUGGAUUCAGUUUCCGUAUGUCAAUUUAUCAACUCCCACUGGUAGUCUGAAGAGUUAUGGCUACUGGAGAACAGAAAAUCACCAGUAUUAAUAAAAGCAAUUUUAAGUGUUUACCUUUUAGUAUUUGAAUAGCUUUGUUAAAGAGACAUACUCAAGAAUACUAUGAAGAGACUUAUUGUACUCCUUACCUGGAGAUAAUUGUGAUGCCAGAAAUUCAAAUUUAUAUUCAACAAUAUGGUUUUUCACCAUCAAUAUUAUAAACAUCUAGGCAGUGUUUAUUGUUUGCGCAUUUGCCAUCCUCUAAAAUGAGAUUAUUCUAAGCAUAAAUUAUACUUCAUCAUUCAAGAUUAUAAACAUUUAUAAUAAUCAUAAUAUUCACGGACAUUUCCCUGCUCUCAAAUCACUAGAGCUAAUAGGCAAAGUAGAUACAGCUACAAACAGCGGGAGAAAAUGUUUCUGGCUGACCUACAAAUAGCUGUGCAAUAAUGUAGAGAGGAAAAUAUAGUCUCACUUGUAGUGUCUGAAAUUGAGUUUCC